rnacentral:rRNA from 1 species
AUGGCAUCAUUCGACAUUGAAAACUCCGGUGGAUAGAGAUGGGCACGCGCAAGAUUAGAUAGUUGGUGAGGUAACGGCUCACCAAGUCUACGAUCUUUAGGGGGCCUGAGAGGGUGAUCCCCCACACUGGUACUGAGACACGGACCAGACUCCUACGGGAGGCAGCAGUGAGGAAUAUUGGACAAUGGGUGAGAGCCUGAUCCAGCCAUCCCGCGUGAAGGACGACUGCCCUAUGGGUUGUAAACUUCUUUUGUAUAGGGAUAAACCUACCCUCGUGAGGGUAGCUGAAGGUACUAUACGAAUAAGCACCGGCUAACUCCGUGCCAGCAGCCGCGGUAAUACGGAGGGUGCAAGCGUUAUCCGGAUUUAUUGGGUUUAAAGGGUCCGUAGGCGGAUCUGUAAGUCAGUGGUGAAAUCUCACAGCUUAACUGUGAAACUGCCAUUGAUACUGCAGGUCUUGAGUGUUGUUGAAGUAGCUGGAAUAAGUAGUGUAGCGGUGAAAUGCAUAGAUAUUACUUAGAACACCAAUUGCGAAGGCAGGUUACUAAGCAACAACUGACGCUGAUGGACGAAAGCGUGGGGAGCGAACAGGAUUAGAUACCCUGGUAGUCCACGCCGUAAACGAUGCUAACUCGUUUUUGGGCUUUCGGGUUCAGAGACUAAGCGAAAGUGAUAAGUUAGCCACCUGGGGAGUACGUUCGCAAGAAUGAAACUCAAAGGAAUUGACGGGGGCCCGCACAAGCGGUGGAUUAUGUGGUUUAAUUCGAUGAUACGCGAGGAACCUUACCAAGGCUUAAAUGGGAAAUGACAGGUUUAGAAAUAGACUUUUCUUCGGACAUUUUUCAAGGUGCUGCAUGGUUGUCGUCAGCUCGUGCCGUGAGGUGUUAGGUUAAGUCCUGCAACGAGCGCAACCCCUGUCACUAGUUGCCAUCAUUAAGUUGGGGACUCUAGUGAGACUGCCUACGCAAGUAGAGAGGAAGGUGGGGAUGACGUCAAAUCAUCACGGCCCUUACGCCUUGGGCCACACACGUAAUACAAUGGCCGGUACAGAGGGCAGCUACACAG